GAUGAACGCUGGCGGCGUGCCUAAUACAUGCAAGUCGAGCGAACGGACGAGAAGCUUGCUUCUCUGAUGUUAGCGGCGGACGGGUGAGUAACACGUGGAUAACCUACCUAUAAGACUGGGAUAACUUCGGGAAACCGGAGCUAAUACCGGAUGAUAUUUUGAACCGCAUUGUUCAAAAGUGAAAGACGGUCUUGCUUUCACUUAUAGAUGGAUCCGCGCUGCAUUAGCUAGUUGGUAAGGUAACGGCUUACCAAGGCAACGAUGCAUAGCCGACCUGAAAGGGGACUCGGCCACACUGGAACUGAGACACGGUCCAGACUCCUACGGGAGGCAGCAGUAGGGAAUCUUCCGCGAUGGGCGAAAGCCUGACGGAGCAACGCCGCGUGAGUGAUGAAGGUCUUCGGAUCGUAAAACUCUGUUAUUAGGGAAGAACAUAUGUGUAAGUAACUGUGCACAUCUUGACGGUACCUAAUCAGAAAGCCACGGCUAACUACGUG
rnacentral:rRNA from 1 species